ensembl:lncRNA
GCGAACACCCUCUUCGGUGAGGACCUCGGGAUCUCCGUUGCUCCUCGUCCUCCUUGCUCCCUCUACAUCGUUCUCAAGUGCCUCGCUAGUGAUAGCGAAGCUGUUUUGCCUGCCUAUUACGUGAACACCGCCCUCCAGUUGGACCUCGGGCUCUCCGUGUCUCCUCCUCCUCCUUGCUCCCUCUCAUUGUUCUCAAGUGCCUCGCUAGUGAAAGAGCAGCCGUUUGGCCUACCCAUUACGUGAACAUGGCCCUCCAUUUAUGCUCCUCGCGAGCGUACGCUUAGGCCUGCGGAUGGCCGGUUUCGCGAACACCGCCCUCUAGUUGGACCUCGGGCUCUCCGUUUCUCCUCGUACUCCUUACUCCCUCUCCAUCUUUCUCAAGCGCCUCGCUAGUGAAAGAGCAGCUCUGUGGCCUGCCUACUACGCGAACACCGCCCUCCGUUUGGACUUCAGACACUCCUUGCCUCCUCCUCAUCCUUGCUCCCUCUACAUCGUUCUCAAGUGCCUCGGUAGCGUACGCUUAGGUCUGCGGAGGGCGGGUUACGCGAACACCACCAUUUUUGAGGAACCCAGUACCUCCUACACACACACACACACACACACACACACAGACACACACACACACACACACACACACACACACGAGGCAGUGAGGAGGAGAAGGAGGUUGUUGCUACGCCUGCGUCGCGAAACCAGGGCUCAUUGUGUGCGCGCCCGGAGUAGCUACGGGGAAACACGUGGGACAACCGACCAGUUUGGGGUCAUGGUUUAUUCAACGCGUAUUUUCAGUGUGGUUUAACUUGGUAAUCUGAUCUGAAAGACUUUCCCUGAAUGUGCCUUAAUUUCACCUCUUUUUCCUUUCUCCUUUUCUUAGCUUACUGAAAAUGUUGGCGACCAAAGGCCGGAUUCAGGGACGUGUGCUGCUUGUGCUACUCGCGUUACGUGGGCAAACUGCUCGCUGUCAUCAUCGAUACAAAGGCUCUGCGACCCGUGAAGAACUGAGACUCCUUCUGGUCGGUAAAACAGGCUCGAGAAAGAGUGCGUCCGGAAACACCAUCCUGGGGGAUGCGUACGCUUUCAAAGAGGACGUUUCGCCCGAGUCUCUCACCGACAGCUGUCUCAGAAAAGAGGCAGAGGGCGACAAACUGGUGGGAGAGGAUGUGGUGAAAAUCGGCCAGCUGCGGCUGGUCACAGAGUGUUACAAAGGAGAUUACUGAGAUUCGUUUGUAACAAAAGGCUGAUUCUUUCAAUGCACGCAUCCUACGGUGAGAUUUAUAUCAUGUAUUCACAGCCACCAGAGGCGCUGUACAGCACCGAGUGCCUGAAACACAGACAGUUUGUUGAUAUUUUUUAAUGUAAACCUUCUUUUUUUUUCAUGUAAACCUGUUCUUGACAUAUCUACUGAGAUUCGUUUGUCUUGAAAGGCUGAUUCAACCCCGUUGUUGACUUUUAUUUUGCCUUCCAGAUUGCCUCAGUUGUAUCGUGAGUGUAAUUUCAAAUAAAUUAAAAUAAAACUCAGAAGCAUCUGUGUGUUGUAUUCUUCUUCUUCUUCUUCUUCUCAUUAUUAUUAUUAUUAUUAUUAUUAUUAUUAUUAUUAUUAUUAUUACCAUUAUUAUUAUUAUUAUUGUGAUUAUGCUUCAUUUUCAUGUACUGGGGUAUCAAUGACCCCCAUGGUGCCGCAGCAGCUUCUGUGCGUGGUCCCCAAGUGCUACGUUUUCUUUCCCGAUCCCCUGACGAACCCAUUAGAAUCGCUCUGGG